UAGGGAAUCUUGCGCAAUGGGCGAAAGCCUGACGCAGCCAUGCCGCGUGAAUGAUGAAGGUCUUAGGAUUGUAAAAUUCUUUCACCGGGGACGAUAAUGACGGUACCCGGAGAAGAAGCCCCGGCUAACUUCGUG
rnacentral:rRNA from 1 species